rnacentral:rRNA from 1 species
AGGUGGCAAGCGUUAUCCGGAAUGAUUGGGCGUAAAGGGUGCGUAGGUGGUACAUUAAGUCUGAAGUAAAAGGCAGCAGCUCAACUGCUGUUCGCUUUGGAAACUGGUGAACUAGAGUGCAGGAGAGGGCGAUGGAAUUCCAUGUGUAGCGGUAAAAUGCGUAGAUAUAUGGAGGAACACCAGUGGCGAAGGCGGUCGCCUGGCCUGUAACUGACACUGAGGCACGAAAGCGUGGGGAGCAAA